rnacentral:rRNA from 1 species
CAAGUCGAGCGAGAUAUUUCGGGUAGCAAUAUUCGGGAUGUCUAGCGGCGCAAGGGUGCGUAACACGUGGGUAAUCUGCCUUGAAGCCUGGAAUAACUCCGAGAAAUCGGAGCUAAUACUGGAUAUGAUGUUUGGAUGGCAUCGUUUGAACAUCAAAGUUGGGGACCGUAAGGCCUGACACUUCUAGAUGAGCCCGCGGCCUAUCAGCUAGUUGGUGAGGUAAUGGCUCACCAAGGCUAAGACGGGUAGCUGGUCUGAGAGGACGACCAGCCACACUGGAACUGAGACACGGUCCAGACACCUACGGGUGGCAGCAGUCGAGAAUUUUUCACAAUGGGCGAAAGCCUGAUGGAGCGACGCCGCGUGGGGGAUGAAUGGCUUCGGCCCGUAAACCCCUGUCAUUUGCGAACAAACCUUUCGACCUAACACGUCGAGAGCUGAUUGUAGCGAAAGAGGAAGGGACGGCUAACUCUGUGCCAGCAGCCGCGGUAAUACAGAGGUCCCAAGCGUUGUUCGGAUUCACUGGGCGUAAAGGGUGCGUAGGCGGUCAGCUAAGUCUGAUGUGAAAUCUUCGAGCUCAACUCGGAAACUGCAUCGGAAACUAUCUGGCUCGAGGAUUGGAGGGGAGACUGGAAUUCUCGGUGUAGCAGUGAAAUGCGUAGAUAUCGAGAGGAACACCAGUGGCGAAGGCGAGUCUCUGGACAAUUCCUGACGCUGAGGCACGAAAGCUAGGGGAGCAAACAGGAUUAGAUACCCUGGUAGUCCUAGCCCUAAACGGUGCACGUUUGCUGUAAGAGGAAUCGACCCCUUUUGUGGCGAAGCUAACGCGUUAAACGUGCCGCCUGGGAAGUACGGCCGCAAGGUUAAAACUCAAAGAAAUUGACGGGGGCCUGCACAAG